CGGAGGGCGUAGCGUUGUUCGGAAUUACUGGGCGUAAAGACGCACGUAGGCGGACUGGAAAGUACAGAGGUGAAAUACCCAGGGCUCAACCUUGGAACUGCCUUUGAAACUAAUCAGUCUGGAGUUCGAGAGAGGUGAGUGGAAUUCCGAGUGUAGAGGUGAAAUCCGUAGAUAUUCGGAGGAACACCAGUGGCGAAGGCGGCUCACUGGCUCGAUACUGACGCUGAGGUGCGAAAGCGUGGGGAGCAAACAGGAUU
rnacentral:rRNA from 1 species